UGUUCGCGUUGCAGAGCCUCUGUCAAUUGUACCCAUAACAAUUGACGUCGACAUGCAUGAAAUACAUGUGUUGCAUCCUGCGACAGGGUACUCAAUGCAAACAGGCUACGGCUGUCGUUCCGGCGGGGCAGUGGCAGAAAGCCAGCCGUUCCUCUGUAUCGUCGCGCCUUUGGCACUUCCGCGUAUGCCAACAUGCUUGUUGUAUCAUAAGGAUGAUACGCCAGCCACUCUUAUUGAUAGCGCGGCGGCUGUGGCGAGGCGUCGCGCAUUAAUCGACCAUUGCAGCGGCGGAGCAGGUCGAGGUUGCUGCUCGUUCAUAGUGAGUUUAGUGACAUGUAAUUUGCGAUAUCGUCCCUGAAGUUGAUGGCCAAAAUGAAGGACACUUGAUUCCUUCAUACGCGUGAAGUUCGGGCCCCAGCGCACACUGUACUGAUUGGUCGCGCCCUGCUGCCACGUCCCCGCGCGCAUCUUGAAGUGCGGGUAGAGCUGGCGGUCAAUAGGGUAUGGGUCUGCGAAUUCCAGCGUCUUGGUAAGUCCACUGUCGCCAAUGCGGAAGGUUAUCAAACUAGGAGAUGGGAAGGGUAGCUGCAGUACUGCCCACUGGUUGUCAGGAGUCUGCUCGGCACUCGAGCAUGUACUGUUCGGUGGUGUAUCCGUUCUGCAGUGCAACAGUCUGUACGUGCUAGAAUAGCUAACAUUGUCGGGGUAGUAGGAGCAGCAUGUCCACGCCUGCCUUGAAUGCUGUGUUUGCGGUGGUGGGGGUGUCGGUCAGGUUGGCGACAGCCAGAGACAUGAGGAUCACCUGGCGCAGGUAGAAGCCCAAAGUUUAAGGCCCCGUCGGCUGACGUAGUGAUGCGGAUCCUAGCUGGAAGGAUCAGCGACUGCGAGGCGGCAACCCGCUGGUUCGUGUAACAGUCGAGCCGAUCCAGAUAGAUGCAGCUGCACACCCGUUGCUUGGGCCCCGCACAGCAGCAGCCAAGCACUGCAAUAUUCUGACCUGUCGCCAUGCUGCCGUGUGUGCC
rnacentral:lncRNA from 1 species